rnacentral:rRNA from 1 species
AACGAACGCUGGCGGCAUGCCUAACACAUGCAAGUCGAACGAGACCUUCGGGUCUAGUGGCGCACGGGUGCGUAACGCGUGGGAACCUGCCCUUAGGUUCGGAAUAACUCCCCGAAAGGGGUGCUAAUACCGGAUAAUGUCUUCGGACCAAAGAUUUAUCGCCUUUGUAUGGGCCCGCGUUGGAUUAGCUAGUUGGUAGGGUAAAAGCCUACCAAGGCGACGAUCCAUAGCUGGUCUGAGAGGCUGAUCAGCCACACUGGGACUGAGACACGGCCCAGACUCCUACGGGAGGCAGCAGUGGGGAAUAUUGGACAGUGGGCGAAAGCAUGAUCCAGCAAUGCCGCGUGAGUGAUGAAGGCCUUAGAGUUGUAAAGCUCUUUUACCUGGGAUGAUAAUGACAGUACCGGGUGAAUAAGCUCCGGCUAACUCCGUG